GACGAACGCGGCGGCGUGCUUAACACAUGCAAGUCACGGGGGCUCAGCAAUGGGCAACCGGCGAACGGGUGCGUAACACGUGAGCAACCUGCCGAUCUGAGGGGAUAGCCGGCCCAACGGCCGGGUAAUACCGCAUACGCUUCUUGAGGGACAUCCCUUGGGAAGGAAACCUCCGGGGCAGAUCGAGGGGCUCGCGGCCUAUCAGCUAGUUGGUGAGGUAACGGCUCACCAAGGCAUCGACGGGUAGCUGGUCUGAGAGGAUGGCCAGCCACAUUGGGACUGAGAGACGGCCCAGACUCCUACGGGAGGCAGCAGUGGGGAAUCUUGCGCAAUGGCCGAAAGGCUGACGCAGCGACGCCGCGUGUGGGAUGAAGCAUUUCGGUGUGUAAACCACUGUUGCCCGGGACGAACAGCGCUUUUCGAGGCGCCUGACGGUACCGGGUGAGGAAGCACCGGCUAACUCCGUGCCAGCAGCCGCGGUAAUACGGAGGGUGCGAGCGUUGUCCGGAAUCACUGGGCGUAAAGGGCGCGUAGGUGGCGCGGGCAGCCAACGGUGAAAGUUCGGGGCUCAACCCUGAAUCGGCCGUCGAUACUCCCGUGCUUGAGCACUGUAGAGGCAGAUGGAAUUCCGGGUGUAGCGGUGGAAUGCGUAGAGAUCCGGAAGAACACCGGUGGCGAAGGCGGUCUGCUGGGCAGUUGCUGACACUGAGGCGCGAUAGCGUGGGGAGCAAACAGGAUUAGAUACCCUGGUAGUCCACGCCGUAAACGAUGGGUACUAGGUGCUUGGGGGAGCGACCCCCUGAGUGCCGGCGCUAACGCAUUAAGUACCCCGCCUGGGGAGUACGACCGCAAGGUUG
rnacentral:rRNA from 1 species